UUUUUUUUAUUAAAAUAAUUAUAUUUGAUCACAUGUCCAUAUAAAAAUAAUACGGGAAACUUCCCCUCAUGUCCAUCACGUUAGCCGGUAAAUGUUACAUGCAUUCUAUGUAUUUCUACAAAUAAAAUAUGAUUAGAAAAAUUUAAGAUCAAAGGAAAAUAUGAUUAGAAAAGUUUAAGACCGAAGGAAAAUAAAAGAAAAAAAAAAAAAAAAAAAAANNNNNNNNNNNNNNNNNNNNNNNNNNNNNNAAAAAAAAAAAAAAAAAAGCAACAUGUAUGAUACAUUGAUACUAUAGCUAGGAAGAGAUUGAUGAGAGGCACAUGUAAAUUACUGAACCGUUUGGUCCAAUCAGUUUAUUUAAUUUAUUCACAAGUGAAGUUGAAAAAAUGGUUGAGUUGAGAGAAUCAAAAUCAAAAUUGGAAUUGAAACAAAAAGAUUUUCAACAAUCUUGUCAACAACUAUUUGUACUCCUACAACUAGAAAGGCUACAUAUAACAUAGGAUGCAAAAAACUCUCAGUUUUUAAGGUGUAUCUUCUGUAUCCAAUCCAUGAUCUAGCUCCUGCACUACUCUAUUCACUAUUUUUGUUCUGUUUUUACUAUUCUUUUGUUUCAUUUCAUUGCACUGUCCUGUCCCAAACCAAAUCAAUGAAAUUCUUUAGCCUUCUUGUUCUGCAGGUCACUCCUAAAAAAAAUACUACUUGGUUUUCUAUGUUUUUUCAUUUUUUUCUUUUUUAAUAUAAAAUUUGAAACAUGUCAAUUAAUAUUAUUACUAAAAAAAUUAAGUCUAUUUUUUUUUUAUAUGAAAAAAAAAUGAAUUUAUUAAAAAAUUAAGUCUAUGAUCAUGCAUGGACGAAAAUUGAUUUUAAAUGAAUUUUAAUGGACUAAAAGUAAGUUGAUUGUAAAGUGACUUAUAUUUAGAUAGAUUCAUAUAAACAUUGAUUGAAUAGUAAAUUCAACGUUAAAAAUAAAUUGUAGACUCUAUGACAUUGCAUGCUAAGUGAACAUGCUACAUUACACGUUGAUUUUACAUUAAUAUCGGCUCACUAAUUGAUUUCUUUAUAAAAUUUAGGUCUUAAAGACAAGUAAUAGCAAUCCAAUCGUGCAUGACUAAAUAUUGACAAGAGACUUUUUUUUUUUUAGGCAAAAGGAGAGUAGAGGAAAUCCUCUACCUAUUCCAAAUAGAUUAAACAUAAAAUAAAAGAUAUUACAAAAAAUUGGGGAGACAUCAACCUAACCCAGUUAACUACACAAAAAAGUAGUAAUUAAAGAUAAUACAAUGAAUUCCAACUACAAGUGGUUUUUAGAACCAACCCUAACGGAUAAAAACCAAAACAAACACACACAUCGAACACUAUCCAAUAUUGAUAAGAGACUUAAAUUUUAUAAACAACAAAUGAGUCUUUGGUAUGAUGGCCUUAAUUAAUGUGAUGGAUCAAUGUGAAAUGGACGCAUAUAUAUAUAUAUAUAUAUAUAUAUAUAUAUAUAUAUUCAGCUAACUUGUUACAUUAUAGUAAUCUCUAAGAUAAAAGUUAAUAAAUAAACUAUUUUGACUUGUAUUUUCGGAUUUCAUGAGUGUAUUUAUAAAUUCUAAAAUGUUAGAGACUAUUUUAACCGAUACUUACAAUUUCAAUAAUAAAUUUACCUAUCUAGCAAACAAAUUAUUGUUAAAAUUAAGCUGUUAUAGAAACAUUGUUCAUUUCUUAAAAUUAUUUGCAUGCAUGUUUAUACAAAAUAAGCGCUAUAAAAUGCAUUUUUUGUAGUAGAGAUUGUAUAUUUGGCUGUAAAAUUUAGGUGCUAAUACAUGCAAGUGAUGAUGAUGAUGAUGAUGAUAUUGUGGUGCUUUACCUAACCUACACUGGUAAUUAUUUUUGUCCCUUGCUUUAUUCAUGAAAUUGGGGUUAACUCUCUCUUUAAGCAAAGAAUGCUGGAAUACAGGGACAUUCUAACCGCCCAAUAAAAAUACUACAAUCUCUUUUGGUAAUCCUUCUCACCAAGCCACAACAAUCUUUCCUUUCUCUUUCUGAGUCUCUCAAAAAUGUUAAUUUAUUCCAUGCAUGUGUCACAACCUUCGGAGUUAAGCUUUAGCUAUAAAGAGUUCACCUAUUGAUCAUGUUAAUGAAGAAGAAAGCAUGCAGGUCAAGGUGCAAAUUAAAUCCAUUCCAGCCUCAUUUUGGUUUGGUUUUCAAGAGAGUACUUCAAAAAUAUGUCAUUCACUUUAAUUAGUUAGAUCCUUUUUUUUUUGACAAAAUAAUUAAUUUUUUAUUCUUGACAAAUAUAAACUCAUAUCGUUUCAUUAUAUAAUAAGUUUUCAAUAUAAGGAAGUAUUCUCUCAAAUGAGUAGUGACUAAACCGGAAAAUGGCCGCCUUAAAAAACGUAUGAGCAACUAUAUUCGUUUGUCGCUUAAUAAACUUUACCUCAAAGUCAGAAUACAACAUAAUUAGUUAGAUCCUUGUUACUUUGUUUACCUUUCUUUGAUCCUUUGGAGUGGAUGAGUGACUCAACUGGUUAAAGAGUUUGAGGCUCAGGGUUCAAGUUGUGAUAAGGAGACAAACUAAUGCAAACGGUGGAAAUGUAUGAACCAAAUUAAUACUUUUUAAACUUAAGAGACAAAAUUGAAACCUAAAAUAAAUGUAAGGGACCAAAUGUGUAGUUAAAUCAAUAUACUAUUACUUUUUGUUAAUGGAGUCACUAGAGAGUCGAGUUCUAGGAGGGAGGGAGGGGGGAGAGAGAGAGAGAGAGAGAGAAUCUCUCGAUGUUGUUGAACGGGGAACACAAUAAUAUUUCUUACCCCACUACCCCUAUAAUUAUUGAAGUAAGCCCUAAAAGGCAAUCUAUUUUGAUAAAAUUGCCUUUUGUAUUAUGAAAGGUUAUAAAAUAAUGAAAAUUUGUUAAAAAGUUAAGAAUGAAUUAUGUUGAUUUAUAAAUUU
rnacentral:lncRNA from 1 species